rnacentral:lncRNA from 1 species
GAAAAACUUGAUGUGGCCACACUGGGCCUACUUUUCCACAUGGCAGCAAUUGGCUGGAGCUGAAGAGCAGCUGGCUCUUUGAGACGGGAAUGAACUGGUUGGACGAUUGAUGAUGAUUCAGCAAAAGACUUCUGGUAUUGCAUGACCUCACAGGGCCAGGAAGAUUCACAGAGGAGAGAAGAGAACCCGGCCUGGGAAUGGGUCUAAGGAGUGACUCGCUGGUCUUGGUUAAGGGGAGUGGGGGUAGUCAGAGAAGAUUCCCAGUGGAGGAGGACUCAGGUCUUGAAAGAUAAACGAGAAUUUGCAAGAGAUGAGCUGGACAAGCAUUCGAGGCAGCAGGAGCAGCCUGAGCAAAGGCUCAGAGGUGUGACCAGACGCUGGCUGAAGCUCGGGCUUUGGAAUGAGACAGAAUCUGGAUUCACCACUAACUGCCUGUGUAAUCUUGAAUAAGGUUUUUAACCCCUCUCAGCCUCUAUGUCUAGAGCUGGAGAGUAGAGAGAGAAUGCCACCCAGCUGAUAGAAUUGCUGCGGCGAUGAGCAAGAGGUACGUGAAAGCACCUAAGCGGAGCUCGGGUCACAGAAGGAGUUCCCCAUAAGUGAUAGUUAAUUCUGGCUGAACAAAUAAUAAAGAAAUUAAUUAUUACAUCUCAGUCUUUCAAAUUGCUGCAGUAGGAUAUGUGCAAAGUGCUACAGACACAAGAC